CCUACGGGAGGCAGCAGUAGGGAAUCUUCCACAAUGGGCGAAAGCCUGAUGGAGCAACGCCGCGUGGGUGAAGAAGGUCUUCGGAUCGUAAAACCCUGUUGUUAGAGAAGAAAGUGCGUGAGAGUAACUGUUCACGUUUCGACGGUAUCUAACCAGAAAGCCACGGCUAACUACGUGCCAGCAGCCGCGGUAAUACGUAGGUGGCAAGCGUUAUCCGGAUUUAUUUGGCGUAAAGGGAACGCAGGCGGUCUUUUAAGUCUGAUGUGAAAGCCUUCGGCUUAACCGGAGUAGUGCAUUGGAAACUGGGAGACUUGAGUGCAGAAGAGGAGAGUGGAACUCCAUGUGUAGCGGUGAAAUGCGUAGAUAUAUGGAAGAACACCAGUGGCGAAAGCGGCUCUCUGGUCUGUAACUGACGCUGAGGUUCGAAAGCGUGGGUAGCAAACAGGAUUAGAUACUCGUGUAGUC
rnacentral:rRNA from 1 species